rnacentral:rRNA from 1 species
GACUGCUAAUACCGCAUAAGCCACGGUCGGCAUCGACCAGAGGGAAAAGGAGCAAUCCGCUUUGAGAUGGCCUCGCGUCCGAUUAGCUAGAUGGUGAGGUAACGGCCCACCAUGGCGACGAUCGGUAGCCGGACUGAGAGGUUGAACGGCCACCAUUGGGACUGAGACACGGCCCAGACUCCUACGGGAGGCAGCAUG